rnacentral:rRNA from 1 species
UGUGGCCUUGAGCCGUGGCUUUCGGAGCUAACGCGUUAAGUAGACCGCCUGGGGAGUACGGUCGCAAGAUUAAAACUCAAAUGAAUUGACGGGGGCCCGCACAAGCGGUGGAGCAUGUGGUUUAAUUCGAUGCAACGCGAAGAACCUUACCUACUCUUGACAUCCAGAGAACUUAGCAGAGAUGCUUUGGUGCCUUCGGGAACUCUGAGACAGGUGCUGCAUGGCUGUCGUCAGCUCGUGUCGUGAGAUGUUGGGUUA